GACGAACGCUGGCGGCGUGCUUAACACAUGCAAGUCGAACGGAAAGGCCCUGCUUUUGUGGGGUGCUCGAGUGGCGAACGGGUGAGUAACACGUGAGUAACCUGCCCUUGACUUUGGGAUAACUUCAGGAAACUGGGGCUAAUACCGGAUAGGAGCUCCUGCUGCAUGGUGGGGGUUGGAAAGUUUCGGCGGUUGGGGAUGGACUCGCGGCUUAUCAGCUUGUUGGUGGGGGAGUGGCUUACCCAGGCUUUGACGGGUAGCCGGCCUGAGAGGGGGACCGGCCACAUUGGGACUGAGAUACGGCCCAGACUCCUACGGUAGGCAGCAGUGGGGAAUAUUGCACAAUGGGCGGAAGCCUGAUGCAGCAACGCCGCGUGCGGGAUGACGGCCUUCGGGUUGUAAACCGCUUUCGCCUGUGACGAAGCGUGAGUGACGGUAAUGGGUAAAGAAGCACCGGCUAACUACGUG
rnacentral:rRNA from 1 species